GAAAUUCGAUAAGUAAUGUGAAUUGCAGAAUUCAGUGAAUCAUCGAAUCUUUGAACGCAGCUUGCGCUCCUUGGUAUUCCUUGGAGCAUGCCUGUUUGAGUAUCAUGAAAUCUUCAAAGUAAAUCUUUUGUUAACUCAAUUGGUUUCUACUUUGGUAUUGGAGGUCUUUGCAGCUUCACACCUGCUCCUCUUUGUUCAUUAGCUGGAUCUCAGUGUUAUGCUUGGUUCCACUCGGCGUGAUAAGUUAUCUAUCGCUGAGGACACUGUAAAAGGUGGCCAAGGUAAAUGCAGAUGAACCGCUUCUAAUAGUCCAUUGACUUGGACAAUACUUUUAUGAUCUGAUCUCAAAUCAGGUAGGACUACCCGCUGAACUUAAGC
rnacentral:misc_RNA from 1 species